AAUGAACGCUGGCGGCGCGCCUAACACAUGCAAGUCGAGCGAGAAGACGUAGCAAUACGUUUGUAAAGCGGCGAACGGGUGAGGAAUACAUGGGUAACCUACCCUAGAGUGGGGAAUAACUAGCCGAAGGUUAGCUAAUACCGCGUACGCUCCUUGGACUUCGGUUCAGGGAGGAAAGCGAUGCCGAGGGUAUCGCGCUCUUGGAUGGGCUCAUGUCCUAUCAGCUUGNGGUGAGGUAACGGCUCACCAAGGCUUCGACGGGUAGCUGGUCUGAGAGGACGAUCAGCCACACUGGCACUGCGACACGGGCCAGACUCCUACGGGAGGCAGCAGUGGGGAAUCUUGCGCAAUGGGCGAAAGCCUGACGCAGCGACGCCGCGUGAGGGAUGACGGCCU
rnacentral:rRNA from 1 species